rnacentral:rRNA from 1 species
CACGUAGGGGCCAAGCGUUGUCCGGAUUUAUUGGGCGUAAAGAGCUCGUAGGCGGUUGGGUAAGUCGGGGGGGAAAACUCCGGGCUCAACUCGGAGACGCCACUCGAUACUGCCAUGACUCGAGUCCGGUAGGGGAGUGCGGAAUUCCUGGUGUAGCGGUGAAAUGCGCAGAUAUCAGGAGGAACACCGGUGGCGAAGGCGGCACUCUGGGCCGGUACUGACGCUGAGGAGCGAAAGCGUGGGGAGCGAACAGG